CCCGACUGCUAUUUGGGUGAGGAUAAGCCAUGCGAGUUGAAUGGGAAACCUAAAGUUCCCAUGGCAAACUGCUCAGUAACACAUGAUCAACUUACCCUAUAGAGAAAAAUAACCUCGGGAAACUGAGGAUAAUGUUUCAUAGUUGAAUUGGCUUGGAAAAGUUUUUCGACGAAAGGGGUAAAAAAAAUGGUUUUUAUCUGCUAUAGGAUAGGAUCGUGUUCGAUUAUGGUUGUUGGUGAGGUAAUGGCUCACCAAGCCGAUAAUCGAUAGGGGCCGUGAGAGCGGGAGCCCCGAGAUGGGUACUGAGACAACGACCCAGGCCUUACGAGGCGCAGCAGGCGUGAAACCUCCGCAAUACACGAAAGUGUGACGGGGUUACCCAAAGUGUUCAAUUUUGAACUGUGGUAGGUGAGUAAUGUUCCCUACUAGAGAGGAGAGGGCAAGGCUGGUGCCAGCCGCCGCGGUAAAACCAGCUCUUCAAGUGGUCGGGAUAAUAUUGGGCUUAAAGUGUCCGUAGCCGGUUUAGUAAGUUCCUGGUAAAAUCGGGUAGCUUAACUAUCUAUAUGCUAGGAAUACUACUAUACUAGAGGGCGGGAGAGGUCUGAGGUACUACAGGGGUAGGGGUGAAAUCUUAUAAUCCUUGUUGGACCACCAGUGGCGAAGGCGUCAGACUGGAACGCGCCUGACGGUGAGGGACGAAAGCCAGGGGAGCGAACCGGAUUAGAUACCCGGGUAGUCCUGGCCGUAAACGAUGCAUACUAGGUGAUGGCACGGCCAUGAGCCGUGUCAGUGCCGUAGGGAAACCGUUAAGUGUGCCGCCUGGGAAGUACGGUCGCAAGGCUAAAACUUAAAGGAAUUGGCGGGGGAGCACCACAAGNGGGUGAAGCCUGCGGUUCA
rnacentral:rRNA from 1 species